rnacentral:misc_RNA from 1 species
GAUGAAGAACGCAGCGAAAUGCGAUACUUGGUGUGAAUUGCAGAAUCCCGUGAACCAUCGAGUCUUUGAACGCAAGUUGCGCCCGAAGCCAUUAGGCCGAGGGCACGCCUGCCUGGGCGUCACACGUCGUUGCCCCCCCAUCUACUCCUUCGGGAUUGCGGGGGGCGGAUGAUGGCCUCCCGUGCGCCUCGUCGCGCGGUUGGCAUAAAUACCAAGUCCUCGGCGACGCACGCCACGACAAUCGGUGGUUGCGAAACCACGGUUGCCCGUCGUGUGCGGUCGUCGCGCAUCGAGGGCUCGAAAAAAUUGCCGGGCUCCGGCUCGGCUUUCAACGCGACCCCAGGUCAGGCGGGGUUACCCGCUGAAUUUAAGCAUAUCAAUAAGCGGAGGA